AACGAACGCUGGCGGCAGGCCUAACACAUGCAAGUCGAGCGGACCCUUCGGGGUUAGCGGCGGACGGGUGAGUAACGCGUGGGAAUAUGCCCUUCUCUACGGAAUAGUCCUGGGAAACUGGGGGUAAUACCGUAUACGCCCUUCGGGGGGAAGAUUUAUCGGGGAAGGAUUAGCCCGCGUUGGAUUAGGUAGUGGGUGGGGUAAUGGCCUACCAAGCCGACGAUCCAUAGCUGGUUUGAGAGGAUGAUCAGCCACACUGGGACUGAGACACGGCCCAGACUCCUACGGGAGGCAGCAGUGGGGAAUCUUAGACAAUGGGGGCAACCCUGAGCUAGCCAUGCCGCGUGAGUGAUGAAGGCCUUAGGGUUGUAAAGCUCUUUCAGCUGGGAAGAUAAUGACGGUACCAGCAGAAGAAGCCCCGGCUAACUCCGUG
rnacentral:rRNA from 1 species